rnacentral:lncRNA from 1 species
UUUCUUUUCCUUUUCCUCGCUCUAUCUCUUUGAUGGGUGUCGCACCCCAUUGUUGACUCUCUAGCAAGUGUACCAGAUCGUUUCAAGUAAUAUAAUCGGUAAAACCCAAUAUCGUUCUUCCCAAGAGACUCGAAAGGCCUUAUCGUUCAUGUAAGUUGAAAUCGUAAGACUUGUAAAGAAAAUUAAUUGGUGGGAAUGCAAAAACACAAAAUAAACAUGCAAAUGCGGUUGAUUCAAUUGAUAAUAAAAAGACUAUGGAUGAAUGGAGUUGUUGGGGGUUUACAAUUUCAUCUUAUCCGCUCUCUCUUAUCUACUCCUCUUGUUUAAUUUGCUUUGUUAUCUAAUUGUCAUGCAAACUUUCUUGGCCUACCCUUAACCCGAUCCCUCGAUGAAAAGAGCCUAUUACUAAGGUUUAAACCCUCAUUUGGUCCUCAUAUUUGUGUGUCAAUCUCAAUUUGGUCAUCGUAUUUUUUUUUGUCUCAAUCGGGUCCUAUAAUUUGUAAAAAUGAGGCAAUUAAGCCCUCUC